rnacentral:lncRNA from 1 species
GAUCCAAAAGAGCUUGUUGCACCCCUGUCGAGUGAUAUAGUAUCCACAUGGAACAAACACGGGGAACAAUCUGCAGCUGACUGCAAUCUCUAGCGCUGGCACAGGAAAUCUAUAUUUAGCAGCAAUGGCUGCAGGUACUGGUGUCUGCCUCUUUGCCUCUGUGCCAGAGGGAUAAAGAGGGAAAGAAAGAGGACUAGUGCUUCAUAUCCCCCCUUUGGCCUCCCCGUCUCCCUGCUCCCUGUCACUCCAUCCUUCCUUCCUCCCUCCCGGACCACCCGUCAGCGGCUGGAUCAACCCGCCCGGACCCUCCUCCCACAACCCCUUUGACUAUCCUCACUUCACCGUCCCGUCUUGUGAACUGAGUGCAGGAAUUUCUGGUUACUGGGAGCUGAAGACUGGUUUUGGCAGUGCAGUCACAGAUAUUCUUGGUUUGGAAGAGCAGAAGAGAACCUUUGAAUACAAAUUUAGAAGUAAACUUCCUGUACAGAGAAAGAGUAAGGAGUUGCUCAGGGUGAGGUACACUGGACAGACGGAACUCUCCCAAGUCUUCUGGAAGUGUGGCAGCACGUGGUCACAUGACCUGGAAGAGAAAACCCAAGAGACUUCUGGGAUCCCUCUCUGA